rnacentral:rRNA from 1 species
UAGUCCACGCCGUAAACGAUGAGAACUAGACGUUGGCCCCGUUGUAAAGAUUUCUAAAGUCUUUAGAACGGGGUUAGUGUCGUAGCUAACGCGUUAAGUUCUCCGCCUGGGGAGUACGGCCGCAAGGUUAAAACUCAAAGGAAUUGACGGGGGCCCGCACAAGCGGUGGAACAUGUGGUUUAAUUCGAUGCAACGCGAAGAACCUUACCUACUCUUGACAUCCUUGGAAUCCUCUAGAGAUAGAGGAGUGCCUUCGGGAACCAAGUGACAGGUGCUGCAUGGUUGUCGUCAGCUCGUGUCGUGAGAUGUUGGGUUAAGUCCCGUAACGAGCGCAACCCCUAUCCUUAGUUGCCAGCGAUUCGGUCGGGGACUCUAAGGAGACUGCCGGUGAUAAACCGGAGGAAGGUGGGGAUGAUGUCAAAUCAUCAUGGCCCUUACGAGUAGGGCUACACACGUGUUACAAUGGGCAGUACAAUGGGUUGCCAAGCCGCGAGGCGGAGCUAAUCUCAAAAAGCUAGCUCUCAGUCCGGAUUGG